GAAUAUGAGGGCUAUCUGGCUGCAACACUGGUCACAAAUUGAUUGCCAGGGUUGAUUCAGCUGAUCCUGUUGUGGAGGUGGAUGUCCCCUUCCUCUCUCACUGCUCCAUAUGAGUUCCUCCCAAAGUUGUGUGCUCUGUUGAAGAGGAUGACUAUUCCCACAAUAGAAGGAUUAUUUUUCAGCCAGGGGAUAUGAGUGGCUGUGUUCCCAUGGUAGAACCUUCAAACAAGCUCUCAAGGUUCAUUUGUAAGAGAAUGUAGAGUAGACAAGCAUCAGGACUCCAUUACCAAUCAAAAUGAGGUGAUGUAUAUGGAAUCUGCUUUUCUUU
rnacentral:snRNA from 1 species